UACGUAGGGUGCGAGCGUUAAUCGGAAUUACUGGGCGUAAAGCGUGCGCAGGCGGUUUUGUAAGCCAGAUGUGAAAGCCCCGGGCUUAACUCGGGGCCUGCAGGCGAAACUGUGGUGCUGGAGUAUGGGAGAGGUGCGUGGAAUUCCCGGUGUAGCGGUGAAAUGCGUAGAUAUCGUAAGGAAGACCAGUGGCGAAGGCGGGUCUCUGGACAGUUCCUGACGCUGAGGCACGAAGGUCAGGGGAGCAAACGGG
rnacentral:rRNA from 1 species